GUUCUCCAUAGUCAUCGGUCUUAUGCUUAGGUUAAGUCCUUAUUUGAAGCUAAGCUUAAGAGUUAAGAAUGGACCAUAGAGAGUAUGAAGAGCCUGCAUGUACAGAGAGUGACUUUUGGUGCCACUACAAUGGAGAUAAUUAAAGCGCUUCAUAAAAAUUGAGAUUCAACAAUCAGAAAUUAAAAACGAAAAACAAAACAUCAGGCGCAUGGGUUUAAAAUAGACAUACUAUGGGAUAAAAUUUAUCAUUGUCUUGGGCUUAGACUCAUAAUACCGAAAAUUUUAUUUCAUCUAGAUCUAUUGUCUCUCACCUAAUUAUCUUUUUAUAUUUCAGGAUAAUCCCUUUUAUUGUGCUUCAGCAAUGGGAAAAAUUUUCAAGAGAGGAUUUUCUUACUUAUAUAGACUUGUGGGUUCAAAUUAAGGUGAUACCUCUAUUAUAUGUAUAGGAGAGCACAGUCAGGUUUAUUGCAAAUACUCUAGGUGCUGUUGUUACUCUGGAUUUCAAUGAAGAAACUACCACACAGAUUAACUUUCUUUGAGUCAAGAUCAGACUUGAUAUUACUAAGCGACUGCGUUUCUUUAGAAGGGUGCGUUUUGAGUCUAGAGAAGUGCCAUGGUUGGCUUUUAGUAUCAAAAGCUCAAGAGAGUUUUCACUAACCGAUGUCGUAUGAAUCACCAGGCCAGUCACUGCCGGUAUUUAGCUCCUCCAGUUGUCCUGGAUGAUGAAUUAGAUGUGUUGGUGGUUCCUGUGUGGCAGGAAGGUGAAGGUUCCAACAAUAUCAAUCGACGUGAACAUGAGAAUAAUUCCCUGAGUUCUAAUAUCUCGUCGUAUACGCCAAUUUCCCAGGCUCCUUUGCCUGCUUCCCCUGUUUUGAACUAGGAUGAAUAUACUGCAGUUUACCACUCUCAGAGACUCUCAUCCUCAAAUUCCCAGUCGAUUCUGGUCGAGGACACCGAAGAUUCGUGGUGGUUCGUCUCACGGCUCGUCCGUCCAUGGUGGCUGUUACAGCUUGCGGCGAAAGUGGAGGAGCAGAAUGGUGGGUGUGUUCUACUAGUCAAGGCGAUUAACUGUGGAUGUUUUCGGAUUCUAGAGGGUUGAUCUUGUUCUGUGGCUAAUCUGGAUUUGGUUGAGCUUCAAUCCCUCUUUAGCUUUCGAGAUUUUGCAUUCGCCUAACCGGAUUAAGGUGGUUAGGUCACGGUUGAGGCUCGCUGAUGGUUGGCNNN
rnacentral:lncRNA from 1 species